GAGAAAGCUAUGAUGUUUCGAUUACAUCGCUUUGUAAAAUCAACGGAAGAUUAUUUUGCUACAGACAAAAACGUUGCGGGUUCGAUCCCCGCCGAAGCACCACUUAAAUCGAACGUGCACUCUUUCUCUUUA
rnacentral:lncRNA from 1 species